rnacentral:tRNA from 1 species
CCUCCUUACCUUAAAGACUAUAUUGAUGUAGUGUCCACACAGAUUAUUUAGUUAAAUAUUAAAGAGAUUUUCAAGAUUGUUAAUCUUGAGACCCAAGUCCCGUUCGUCUAGAGGCCUAGGACACCGCCCUUUCACGGCGGUAACAGGGGUUCGACUCCCCUACGGGACGCCACUUAGGGUCGUUAGCUCAGUUGGUAGAGCAGUUGACUUUUAAUCAAUUGGUCGCAGGUUCGAAUCCUGCACGACCCACCAUUAUUUGGUUUAAUGGUUUUUUAAGUGGGCGAUUAGCUCAGUUGGGAGAGCACCUCCCUUACAAGGAGGGGGUCACUGGUUCGAGCCCGGUAUCGCCCACCAUUAUCUCCUGGGGCUAUAGCUCAGCUGGGAGAGCGCCUGCAUGGCAUGCAGGAGGUCAGCAGUUCGAUCCUGCUUAGCUCCACCAAUUCCUAA